rnacentral:tRNA from 1 species
CCACCCGUGGUUCAGAGGUUAGAGUGUUGGACUUCUGAUCGACAGGUCACGGGUUCGAGCCUCGGGUGGG